GGAGCAGACCAUGCGGCCGCCCUGGGGCGACGAAUGAAGCCGCCGGGGAGGAAAGUCCGAGCUCCGCAUGGGCAGGACGGCUGUUAACGGCAGCCGGGGGCGACCCCAGGGAAAGUGCAACAGAAAUCAAACCGCCGCGCAACGGCAGCGAUGUCCGUGUGUGCGCGGUAAGGGUGAAACGGUGAGGUAAGAGCUCACCGCCUUUUGCGGUAACGCCGAAGGCAGGUAAACCCCGUCCGGAGAAAGGUUGAAUAGGGCGUGCUUUUCGGGCUGCCCGCCCGAUACCUUGCGAUUAGCGCGGGGAGGCAAGCCGGGUACCAACCGCAAAAGGCAGUGAGUGAUCUCUGUCUCAGAUGAAUGGCCGCGCAACACAGAACUCGGCUUACGGUCUGCUCUUAUU
rnacentral:RNase_P_RNA from 1 species